rnacentral:rRNA from 1 species
CCUACGGGCGGCAGCAGUAGGGAAUUUUCGUCAAUGGGCGCAAGCCUGAACGAGCAAUGCCGCGUGAACGAGGAAGGUCUUCGGAUCGUAAAGUUCUGUUGAAGGGGAAAAAGAGCGGAGAGAGGAAAUGGUCUCCGAUUGAUAUUACCCUUCGAGGAAGUCACGGCUAACUACGUGCCAGCAGCCGCGGUAAUACGUAGGUGGCGAGCGUUAUCCGGAAUGAUUGGGCGUAAAGGGUGCGUAGGCGGCCUGCUAAGUCUGGAGUGAAAGGUACCGGCUCAACCGGUACAGGCUCUGGAAAAUGGCGGGCUAGAGAGCAGGAGAGGGCGGUGGAACUACAUGUGUAGCGGUAAAAUGCGUAGAUAUAUGGAAGAACACCAGUGGCGAAGGCGGCCGCCUGGCCUGUUACUGACGCUGAGGCACGAAAGCGUGGGGAGCAAAUAGGAUUAGAUACCCGAGUAGUC